GCUCACUCCAGGCGUUCUUCCCUUACCUGCCGAAUGUCCCUAGGAGGUCAUAUACCAGUUAAACUGCCCCAUUUUGCCUCUUAGUGUACAUUGUGAGCCCACUCAACCAGUUCCUGAGAUACUACUGGGAAGCUGCUGAUCACCAGUUUCAGGUUUUUUCCAUCUGUUGGGAAACUGCCUAUCCCUUGUGCUCGCUGCAACCAAUUAUUAUUUUAGGGAGACAGUUAACCGCCUGACCAUCACCCGAUGAUCGCCUGAUGUUCAUGCAUCCAUGACUACAUAAACUUUUUGGCCGUUUGACCAAAUGGGGACAUCUGGCAUACUGCUAUCAACCAAUAUGUGUUGUAUAAGAGGAGAACUUAGCUCUGAAUGGACUAGUAUACCUGAUCACCAGCAGCAGUUAAAAGGUAAACCACAUUUCUCAAGCUCCCUCAGGCUAGGUAUGUCCAGUGACUGAAUUCUUGCCAGUGGAAUAAGACAUAUUUGAUGUACUCCACUUUCGAGCCUGAUUCAGAAAGACUCUGAAACCUCCAUUCUCUCCCUUCUACUGGGCAUCUAUUUCCUGGAUGACCUUAAGACAAAGAUGGCAGAACCUUCAAAGUCUUGGACCCUGAAUGACUGCCUGGAGUAGAAGCUCCACUCUACUCUCAUGUUAGGAAUUGACAUGAGCAAGUAACACAUUUUAUUAUGGUAAGCCAGGUAUUUAGGGAGUUAUCUUACAGCUGUUGUUACUACAACUAAUAUAGAAAUUGGUGCUUUGAAAUGGUAACUACUACAAUGAGUAAGGCAUUAAACUACUUUUAUACAUAUAAUCUUUUAAACUAAAAGAACAAAAAAGAAUUUAUUUAAAUAGAAGCAUUAACA
rnacentral:lncRNA from 1 species